rnacentral:rRNA from 1 species
AAUUUUGCACAAUGGGGGAAAACCUGAUGCAGCCAUGCCGGGGGUAUGAAGAAGGCCUUCGAGUUGUAAAGUACUUUCAGUUGUGAGGAAGGGGGUAACGUUAAUAGUGUUAUCUCUUGACGUUAGCAACAGAAGAAGCCCCGGCUAACUCCGUGCCAGCAGCCGCGGUAAUCAGGAGGGUGCGAGGGUUAAUUGGAAUUAAUGGGCGUAAAGCGCAUGCAGGUGGUUCAUUAAGUCAGAUGUGAAAGCCCGGGGGUCAACCUCGGAAUAGCAUUUGAAACUGGUGAAUUAGAGAUCUGUAGAGGGGGGUAGAAUUUCAGGUGUAGCGGUGAAAAUCGUAGAGAUUUGAAGGAAUACCAGUGGGGAAGGCGGCCCCCUGGACAGACACUGACACUCAGAUGCGAAAGCGUGGGGAGCAAACAGGAUUAGAUACCCUGGUAGUCCACGCCGUA